rnacentral:rRNA from 1 species
CACGUAGGGGGCAAGCGUUGUCCGGAUUUAUUGGGCGUAAAGAGCUCGUAGGUCGUUCGGUAAGUCAGGUGUGAAACCUCCAGGCUCAACCUGGAGACGCCACUUGAUACUGCUGUGACUGGAGUCCGGUAGGGGAGCGUGGAAUUCCUGGUGUAGCGGUGAAAUGCGCAGAUAUCAGGAGGAACACCAGCGGCGAAGGCGGCGCUCUGGGCCGGUACUGACACUGAGGAGCGAAAGCGUGGGUAGCAAACAGG